rnacentral:tRNA from 1 species
GUUUCCGUGUAGUGGUUAUCACAUGCGCCUCACACGCGCAAGGUCCCCGGUUCAAUCCCGGGCGGAAACA